rnacentral:rRNA from 1 species
UACGGGGGGGGCAAGCGUUGUUCGGAAUUACUGGGCGUAAAGGGCUCGUAGGUGGCCAACUAAGUCAGACGUGAAAUCCCUCGGCUUAACCGGGGAACUGCGUCUGAUACUGGAUGGCUGGAGUAUGGGAGAGGGAUGCGGAAUUCCAGGUGUAGCGGUGAAAUGCGCAGAUAUCGGGAGGAACACCAAUGGCGAAGGCAGCUCGCUGGGACGGUACUGACGCUGAGACGCGAAAGCGUGGGGAGCAAACAGG